UACGGGGGGGGCAAGCGUUGUUCGGAAUUACUGGGCGUAAAGGGCUCGUAGGCGGCCAACUAAGUCGGACGUGAAAUCCCUCGGCUUAACCGGGGAACUGCGUCCGAUACUGGAUGGCUUGAGUUUGGGAGAGGGACGCGGAAUUCCAGGUGUAGCGGUGAAAUGCGUAGAUAUCUGGAGGAACACCGGUGGCGAAGGCGGCGUCCUGGACCAAUACUGACACUGAAACGCGAAAGCCAGGGGAGCAAACGGG
rnacentral:rRNA from 1 species